rnacentral:lncRNA from 1 species
GGGUCUCUUUGUGCACCCGCCCACACGGUUUGCCGUGUUUUCACCCUUCUUUGUUCUCCACCGGUCUGGGCAGGGUCUGAGGACUCCGGAGAGCAAGGCAUGGGUCCGCCUCGUGCCGCAGGGAUUUGAGGACACACGCCAGCUGCCUACACCUGAAGAAAGGGUGAGCUCUGAGGACUUCACAGGGGCCCCAUCCCCUCACCUAGAUGAGGGCUAACCUUGGAAUCCAGACAAAGGUGGAAGUGACCUAGAUGUGACCUGAAUGAGCUAAUCAUCUAAUGAGAGCCAGCCCUUUGUCCUGCCCACAUGAAGGGCUUUGCUGCUACGCACUGACAAGUUGGACGGCUUUUUAUUGCUUUGUUGCCAGUUAUCUGAACAUGAGAGGCUGUAAGGUGUAAUCUGCGAGCCCUGCGCCCAGACUGAACCAGGGCCUCCCUUGAACAUGAGUAUUAGACAAAUGAAAUAAGAACUUAUCUUGCCCAGACUAUAUAAUGGCUUGGAAAUGCAUAGUUUCCUGAACGAUCUCAAUAAAAUACUUUUAAAAGUACUUAAA